rnacentral:rRNA from 1 species
AGUGAACGCUGGCGGUAGGCCUAACACAUGCAAGUCGAACGGCAGCACAGUAAGAGCUUGCUCUUACGGGUGGCGAGUGGCGGACGGGUGAGGAAUACAUCGGAAUCUACUUUUUCGUGGGGGAUAACGUAGGGAAACUUACGCUAAUACCGCAUACGACCUACGGGUGAAAGCAGGGGAUCUUCGGACCUUGCGCGAUUGAAUGAGCCGAUGUCGGAUUAGCUAGUUGGCGGGGUAAAGGCCCACCAAGGCGACGAUCCGUAGCUGUCUGAGAGGAUGAUCAGCCACACUGGAACUGAGACACGGUCCAGACUCCUACGGGAGGCAGCAGUGGGGAAUAUUGGACAAUGGGCGCAAGCCUGAUCCAGCCAUACCGCGUGGGUGAAGAAGGCCUUCGGGUUGUAAAGCCCUUUUGUUGGGAAAGAAAAGCAGCAGGUUAAUACCCCGCUGUUCCGACGGUACCCAAAGAAUAAGCACCGGCUAACUUCGUG